rnacentral:rRNA from 1 species
AGUAAAUAGAUACCCGGGUAGUCCUAGCCGUAAACGACACUCGCUAGGUGUCGGCCACGGUGCGACCGUUGUCGGUGCCGUAGGGAAAGCCGUGAAGCGAGCCACCUGGGAAGUACGGCCGCAAGGCUGAAACUUAAAGGAAUUGGCGGGGGAGCACCACAACGGGUGGAGCUUGCGGUUUAAUUGGAUUCAACGCCGGAAAUCUUACCGGGACCGACAGCAACAUGAAGGCCAGGCUGAAGACUUUGCCGGAUUAGCUGAGAGGUGGUGCAUGGCCGUCGUCAGUUCGUACUGUGAAAGCAUCCUGUUAAGUCAGGCAACGAGCGAGACCCACGCCCACAGUUGCCAGCGUACUCUCCGGAGUGACGGGUACACUGUGGGGACCGCCGCUGCUAAAGCGGAGGAAGGAAUGGGCAACGGUAGGUCAGUAUGCCCCGAAUAUCCCGGGCUACACGCGAGCUACAAUGGUUGGUACAAUGGGUAUCUACCCCGAAAGGGGAUGGAAAUCUCCUAAAGCCAAUCUUAGUUCGGAUUGA